rnacentral:lncRNA from 1 species
AGUCCAACGGCACAUGCCUGCCAUGAUGGAAGUGCCUUCCGCCAUGUCUUCCCCUCGAAGAUGGGCUUUAUCCUCCAAAUGGGAAGCCAAAGAAACCCCUUAAGCUCCUUCUUGUCAGGAAUCAGAUCCCCAUGACCACUAACAGCAACAACUCAGAAGGCAGAGUGUACGUGCAGAAAGCUCUAAGAGACUCCUACAGUUGUCAAGACAUAGUGCAGUUCCAACAAACCCACGUGGGCCCAGAAUCAACCGGCUCUCUUCCGUUACUACUGUUAAAACUCUAAUACACUGAAGCCCAAGCGAGAUGACUCUUCAGCCUCUCCAGCUAGGAGGAAGAGUGCCAGGGACCCUGUGUUCUAUCAUUUAGGAAGGCCUGAACAAGACGCGCACCUUCUGUAUAUCUACCGCUGUGCCCAAGAACUCUAACCCUGGAGCUCCCCUGGCUCCGUUCUACUAAUGAGGAACCGAGAAGUUCCUUUAUUUCCCUCGGGCAUUGUGCUAGACAAUGGUAUGCUGCAGUUUGAAUAAAUCAUGGCGUCCAUGGGCACAUGUGCUGAAGAGCUGCUCCCCAGCUGCUGAUGGUAUUUGGGGACAUGACGGAAACUUUUAGAGUUGGGAGCGUGUUAGAGGAAGUGGGUUACUUAAGCACUUCUUUACGCCUUCUGUUUCUCUGCUUUCUGGAUACCUAGAGGCAAGCAGUUUCCGCCAAAUGCUCCAGUUGCAAUGACAUACCUUACCUUGAGCCCAAAGCACUGGAUCCUGAUGACUGUGAACAGACACCUCUGAAACCAAGAGCCAAAAUUAAUCCAUUCUGCUUUGAGACUAUCUUCCUUAGGUAGUUGUCACAUCCAGAAACCAGGACUACACUGGCACUUCCCUCAAUACGUUUGGGCUAGUGCAUCACCAAGUGUGCUAGUUUAUAUUGAUUGUCACAGUGACAGGAUUUAAGAUCACCUUGGAAGUGAACCUCUGGACAUGCCUGUGAAGAAUUCUCUAGUUUAGGUGAGAAGAAUUACUCUAAAUGUAAGCAUGCACCAUUCCACAGGCUGGGGUCUUGGUCAGUAGAGCACCUGAAUUUAUCUCCUCUGAUUCCUAACUGCAGAUGAAAAGUGUCCAGCAGCCUCAAGCUGCUAUUGUGACUUCUGAGCCAUGGGACUCUUUAUGUUAAAGUUAUGAGCUUUAGUAUACCCUGCUUCAAGUUGCUUCUGUUCCAUAUUUUGUCGUGGCAUCAUGAAAAGUAAGCAAUACAUCCCUUAAUCUCAGCGCUUUCUUCAGAACGCAGAUCAAAUUCAUUUUUUCAGGGCGAAACCCUUUUCCACAGAAACGCAGCUGAGGAAGUUCUUCUAUGCAGUCAAGACCGUUGCCAGACAUCUAAGUGUCAACCAUCAAAACAUUUGCUUUUCCUAAAGAAAAAAGUUAAUAAACCAUAAAUACCGCACA